rnacentral:rRNA from 1 species
GACGAACGCUGGCGGCGUGCUUAACACAUGCAAGUCGAACGGAAAGGCCCUGCUUUUGUGGGGUGCUCGGGUGGCGAACGGGUGAGUAACACGUGAGUAACCUGCCCUUGACUUUGGGAUAACUUCAGGAAACUAGGGCUAAUACCGGAUAGGAGCUCCUGCUGCAUGGUGGGGGUUGGAAAGUUUCGGCGGUUGGGGAUGGACUCGCGGCUUGUCAGCUUGUUGGUGGGGUAGUGGCUUACCAAGGCUUUGACGGGUAGCCGGCCUGAGAGGGUGACCGGCAACAUUGGGACUGAGAUACGGCCCAGACGGCUACGGGAGGCAGCAGUGGGGAAUAUUGCACAAUGGGCGGAAGCCUGAUGCAGCAACGCCGCGUGCGGGAUGACGGCCUUCGGGUUGUAAACCGCUUUCGCCUGUGACGAAGCGUGAGUGACGGUAAUGGGUAAAGAAGCACCGGCUAACUACGUG